rnacentral:sRNA from 1 species
GAUACAAGGGUCAAAAGGUCAGAACUCGUUCCUGCUUGCAGGAUAAGAGCUCUGACCUUGUUGACCCGCACACACAUGAGGACUGUCACCAAUCUUUGAUUGAUGACCCUGUGAUUAUCCUUGGGGAUUCCGAAUGUGUGUAGAAUUGCGGGAGUUGCGUAGCAACGGAGCAAUUCGU